UUGCAACGAAAAGCGCCAGGACUACACGAGUGAAUGUGUAGUUGACGAGGAGAGGGUUUAUCGAUUGUUCGGCGGAUGCCCUCCGGUUGUAGCAUGACAGCCGCCAAGCUUUUGUAAAAAACAUAGAGGCAACUCUAUGGACAAAGUCAGAAGCAACAUGCCUU
rnacentral:ncRNA from 2 species